rnacentral:lncRNA from 1 species
CCUUUCGAGAACCGCCGCGUGGCUGGAGUCAUGGCGGCCUCAGCGGUGUCCGAGAAAGGCCGGCAAACUCCUGCCUUUGGCGGCGGCCGUUGUGUGGCAUCUGCGGCAACGGUGAGACGCAGACCUGCAGGUUGAACCUUAAAAGUGACGAAUGGAGCCUUGAAAUUAAAAUGUUGGCUCUAGACUUGAAAAAAGACCCAUGAAAACCGUCAUCCGAAAACGGUGAGUGUAAGGAUCUUCGUGAUGAAAUCUUAUGUGUACAGUGUCAGCCUCAGUUUGAGGCCGAAAAGGAAGCUCCGGAAGAAGACGCUGGCAGCAGUACCCCGCUGGCUGCCCUGGACCCAAGGCAGAAUUUCCCUUGUGUCUGCAGUGUGAGGCAGAACGGUUUUGCCUGGAGCAAGUGAAACGAUUCCUCUCCUGCUGUUACUAGUAAGCUUUCUGUUUCCAUCUUACGUGUCCCGAAGCAGCCCCGAGCAGCCCCGCAAGCCUGUGAUGGCUGGUUAUCCCUGUCUGAAAGGCUCGACUGAGGGAGAAAAUCUGUUCUGAGGCUUCAGGGUUUGGCGCUGUGCUCUUAAUGGCAGUCGAGGCUUAAUAAGGGGUCAAGUCGAACGGAUUCCAGAGGGGAUUGCGCUUACCCUGCUGAGACCCUGGUCCUGGUGCACUGUCCCUCUGAACCUUAAAGACAAGUGCCGCCACUGCCCUGUCAGGCUCUAGGUCCCCCAGUUUAAUGGCUCAGAGGGCACAGGCUGUUAGGGGGGCAGAAAUGGGCAAGUGGCCUGGAUUUGGUUUAUGCUCUUGUUGUGGGAUGAAAAGAGUGCUUGUCACACAUUUCAAGAAAAUGAAUGGGCUCUUUGAAACAGCCAGGAAUGGCCGACGUAUGCCCACUGUGGCAGCGAGACUGCUCUGGCAUUCUGACCUCUUGCCCCCUCUACCACAUCCUGACCUUCAGAAAAGGAGGGGUACCAUGGCACUGGCAGAGCCCUUUGGCUUCCUGGGGCUUUGCCAACACCAGGGAGCUCUCCUGCUGUUGGCGCUCCCAGAGUGGCAUGACUGGCAAGGGGCGGCAGCUUGGGCAGCAGGGGGCUGGGUUGCCCAGUACGUGAGCGAGAGAGUAGCAGAGUGGUGCUGGGCUGGGAUGGUGUCUGGCCUUGUUUGCAUUUAAAUGCCAGGCUUGACGUGGACACAUUCUUUCUUUUCUGUUGAAAUUGGGGAGCGUGUGCAGCUCUUAUGUCCAAGGUCACAUAUUUGUUCGGUCAGUAAGGAAGCUACAUUUAGGGUGAGAUUUAAAGAGCCUGAAAACUGGACCCGUAGCUUAAGGCCUGAGGUAAACCAAAGUGCGAAAGGACGUGUGAGUAAGUGGGGACGUCUGCCUGCUGGGGUACGGCUGGCUGCGGAGGGGGCUUGACUGCUCUGUGGGACGCACGGGAACCUUAAGUCUCUCAUCCAGAGGGGGAUCGAUGUGACUGUCCCAGGACUUGAUGGCUAUCCUGUACUGGCCACUGGCCGGACUCUGCGCCCUCAGCCCUGAACCCCAGAAAGGAGCGCUGGACCUACAUGCCUGCACUGAAUCAGUCUGAUUGUGCCUUCCACACACACGCAGGCCUAAUGAUGGGUUGCUUGGAAUGAGUUCUGGGAUCGCCGUUCUCUAAAUUAGUUUUUUCUUUCAAGUUAACCUUCACUUUUGAGUCAACCUAGUUGGCUGUUGCAUCAAAUGAUUCUUCUUUGGUUUUACAGGUUAUCUCCCUGUGAUGCCAGACGGGAUCAGCACAGCCCCAGGAGCUAGUUGCUACUGCCUAUAAGAUACCCUCCCCCACCAAAGAGAAUCAUUUAAGGGUUUAGGAGUUGCUGUUGUGGCCCAGUGGGCUAAGAACCUGACAUAGUCUCUGUGAGGAUUCGAGUUUGAUCCCUGGCCUUGCUCAGUGGCUGGGCAUCCAGUGUUGCCCUCAUCUGUGGUGUAGGUUGUGGGUAAGGCUUGGGUCUGGCGUGGCUGUGGCUGUGGCGUGGGCUGGAGCCUCCAAUUCGACCCUUAGCCUGGGAGCUUCUGUGUGCCGUGGGUGCGACCCUAGACAGAACAUAAGAGUUACUUGAACUUCAUCUUUGGGAGUAGUCAGAGACAUUUUAUCUCGGAAGAUCUUGGGCAGUUAGUGAAAUUAGGUAGAACUAAGAACAUUCAGAACAACACGGUUUAGGUGUGUUGAGGUACAGCUCGCGGUGCUGGGACUGCAGCGGUGGUGAAGCGAAGGGAUUGUGAGAUCAACGUGUUGGGGGGGGGGGAGACUAAAGGGAAACAGGUGUUUAGCCGGAGAACGCGCUCCGUGGAUUUCCUAUCAAGUCAGUGGUCUUGGGUUUAACUUUGAAACAAAUAAAAAUUUU